rnacentral:rRNA from 1 species
UACGUAGGGGGCAAGCGUUGUCCGGAUUUACUGGGCGUAAAGAGCGUGUAGGCGGCCACGCAGGUCCGUUGUGAAAACUGGAGGCUCAACCUCCAGCUGUCGACGGAAACCGUAUGGCUAGAGUCCGGAAGAGGAGAGUGGAAUUCCUGGUGUAGCGGUGAAAUGCGCAGAUAUCAGGAAGAACACCUAUGGCGAAAGCAGCUCUCUGGGACGGUACUGACGCUGAGACGCGAAAGCGUGGGGAGCGAACAGG